AAUGAACGUUGGCGGCAUGGAUUAGGCAUGCAAGUCGAGCGAGAAGAGUUUUGAAGCUUGCUUUAGAACUCGGACAGCGGCGAAAGGGAGAGUAACGCGUAGUUAUGUGCCCUAGGGUCCGGAAUAGCCACGGGAAACUGUGGGUAAUGCCGGAUAAUAUCCCCGGAUCAAAGGUGUGAUUCCGCCCUAGGAGCAGACUGCGUCCUACUAGCUAGUUGGUGGGGUAAUGGCCUACCAAGGCAACGAUGGGUAGCGGGUGUGAGAGCAUGACCCGUCUCACUGGGACUGAGAGACGGCCCAGACACCUACGGGUGGCUGCAGUCGAGAAUCUUCGGCAAUGGGCGAAAGCCUGACCGAGCGAUGCCGCGUGCGGGAUGAAGGCCCUCGGGUUGUAAACCGCUGUCGUAGGGGAGGAAGGUUCCGUGAAGAGCGGAAUUUGACCUAUCCUAGGAGGAAGUACGGGCUAAGUUCGUGCCAGCAGCCGCCGUAA
rnacentral:rRNA from 1 species